UACGUGGGGUGCAAGCGUUGAUCGGAAGUACUGGGCGUAAAGCGUUCGCAGGCGGUUAUGCAAGACAGAUGUGAAAUCCCCGGGCUCAACCUGGGAACUGCAUUUGUGACUGCAUAGCUAGAGUGCGGCAGAGGGGGAUGGAAUUCCGCGUGUAGCAGUGAAAUGCGUAGAUAUGCGGAGGAACACCGAUGGCGAAGGCAAUCCCCUGGGCCUGCACUGACGCUCAUGCACGAAAGCGUGGGGAGCAAACAGG
rnacentral:rRNA from 1 species